UACGGGGGGAGCAAGCGUUGUUCGGAUUUACUGGGCGUAAAGGGCGCGUAGGCGGUCAGCACAAGUCAGUUGUGAAAUCUCCGGGCUUAACCUGGGAACUGCGUCCGAUACUGGCAGGCUUGAAUCCGAGAGAGGGACGUGGAAUUCCGGGUGUAGUGGUGAAAUGCGUAGAGAUCCGGAGGAACCCCAGAGGCGAAGGCGGCGUCCUGGCUCGCAUCUGACGCUCAGACACGACAGCAUGGGGAGCGAACGGG
rnacentral:rRNA from 1 species